rfam:Eutrema salsugineum unplaced genomic scaffold scaffold_17, whole genome shotgun sequence.
AAUCCAUGGUGAGGGGAUUACAUGGUAUACCCUCUAAAUGAUUCCCAAGCCUGACAAAAUGAUUCAUGGUUCGUCUGAAUAAAACUUGAGAUUUCAUUUCUUAACCU